GUGGGGAAUCUUGCGCAAUGGGCGAAAGCCUGACGCAGCCAUGCCGCGUGAAUGAUGAAGGUCUUAGGAUUGUAAAAUUCUUUCACCGGGGACGAUAAUGACGGUACCCGGAGAAGAAGCCCCGGCUAACUUCGUGCCAGCAGCCGCGGUAAUACGAAGGGGGCUAGCGUUGCUCGGAAUUACUGGGCGUAAAGGGCGCGUAGGCGGACAGUUUAGUCAGAGGUGAAAGCCCAGGGCUCAACCUUGGAAUUGCCUUUGAUACUGGCUGUCUUGAGUACGGGAGAGGUGAGUGGAACUCCGAGUGUAGAGGUGAAAUUCGUAGAUAUUCGGAAGAACACCAGUGGCGAAGGCGACUCACUGGCCCGUUACUGACGCUGAGGCACGAAAGCGUGGGGAGCAAACACGAUUAGAUACCCGAGUAGUCC
rnacentral:rRNA from 1 species